GAUGAACGCUGGCGGCGUGCCUAGUACAUGCAAGUCGAGCGAACAGAUGAGAAGCUUGCUUCUCUGAUGUUAGCGGCGGACGGGUGAGUAACACGUGGGUAACCUACCUAUAAGACUGGGAUAACUCCGGGAAACCGGGGCUAAUACCGGAUAAUAUUUUGAACCGCAUGGUUCGAUAGUGAAAGACGGUUUCGGCUGUCACUUAUAGAUGGACCCGCGCCGUAUUAGCUAGUUGGUAAGGUAACGGCUUACCAAGGCGACGAUACGUAGCCGACCUGAGAGGGUGAUCGGCCACACUGGAACUGAGACACGGUCCAGACUCCUACGGGAGGCAGCAGUAGGGGAUCUUCCGCAAUGGGCGAGAGCCUGACGGAGCAACGCCGCGUGAGUGAUGAAGGUCUUCGGAUCGUAAAACUCUGUUGUUAGGGAAGAACAAAUUUGUUAGUAACUGAACAAGUCUUGACGGUACCUAACCAGAAAGCCACGGCUAACUACGUGCCAGCAGCCGCGGUAA
rnacentral:rRNA from 1 species